AGCUCCUCGUUUCAAUCACGGUACUUCUCCAAAUCUCUACACUUACCCUUCCAAAUCCUCCAUCAGCAGCGCAUCUCAGCUUUCCAAUUUCAUGCAAUUAAUUCCUCUUUUUCCAAUGGAUCUUCUUCGUCACGCUCUCUUCCGUUUCUCCUCCUCCUCCACCGCCGCUCUGCUGCCAUUGUUCGGUUGUUCCUCUGAGUUUUUGGCGUCUUCCGCUGCUGCCGCGACCGCUCGCGUCGGACGAUCUCUCUCUAUCAUCCCUUGCGUCGCACGAGCCUCCUCCCUGUGAUUCUGUUGCUUAGGGUUCAAUUUUUCUGUGCCAAUUUUAGAUUUAUCAAUUUUUCUUCGCAGUUUCUAUCUUCUUGUUGUUGUUGAUGCUGAUUGAGCUUCUUGUUCCUGUUACAGUUUCUAUCACAUACUGGUAUCUCGAAACAGAUGUUAAUUUUGCCCUUUUCAUUCUCUUUCUUCUGUUUAAAUGUUUCUAAUUUCUAGCUUAGGAAUUCGAUCACCUGUUCUGAGCUUGUUCCACGAUUCUACUCUAUUUGUGAUUUUUUUUGUGUGGAUAAAUGCAUUGCUUUCAAUCCUUCAUCUUGGUUAAUUAUUUUGGAACCCUAGAAUUGCAUAUUCUUAAUUAAUAAGUGUUCUAGCAAUACAGUAAAAUUCUUUGAACUCUUAUAGAUAUAGAAUGGAAUUGAACUUCUAGAUUAUGGCUUCUCUUAAUCACUUAUUGCAGCAGAUAAAUUUAUCUAUGUAGAAAUUAUAGUAUUAGGAUUAUUUAUUGUAGUAUUAUUCUCUCUUCUGUGAUUUGGAAGUUGUAGAAGUAGUUGGGUGAUAUGUUAAGAUAGAAUAUUGAAAGGUUCUUUUUUUUUCUCCUUCUGUUUUAUGACCUUCUUUUCAGAUUAAAUAUUAAUGAAAAUAAAAUUAGCUUUGUCUAUGACCUACUUGGCUGAGGAGUAAGGAGCAGAUAUUCCGAUAUGAUAUCAAGUUUGGUGGAAAAGUCCAAACAGCUUUUCAUGAAAGAUAUCAGGAUGCUGCCCAAGUAUAAUGUCACUGCCACGUUAAGAGUUUCUUCAUGUGAAACCUGGAAAAGGAGCAGCAUUUGUGAGAACCAAGCUCAAGAACUAUGUUACAGGGAAUACAGUUGAGAAGACUUUUAGAGCUGGAAGCUCGGUAAUCUAUUCUAAACUGCAGUUUUAGGGCUCAUGCUUGGAGUUGUUAUGUUCAUAAUUGUCACUUGAAUAGGAAAAGGAAAUGUUCUGGAGUUUUAGUAGCUAUUAUCCUCUAUUAAUAAUAUUACAUAACACAACUCUCCUCUAUUAUCCGAGUUCUGGAGAAGCUAUGCAAAGCACAUCAGUGAAAAAAUUGCUAAUCCGAGUUACUUGAACAGGGGAACCAAACUCCACUCUUGAUGAGGCAGAAACAGCGCUACCAGUAUUUAUUUGUUCUUCCAAAUUCGGGAGCUUGUCUUGUUCAUUGCCCAUGAAUGUUUGGCUUCUACUGUAAUGAUAUCAAUCAAUAGUUCACAAUAGGAUAAGAGAAACUAAUAUACUGAAAUGUCAAAUGUGUUUCUUUUGAUCUUGUUUGUGUACCUAGAUAAUUCAAAUAUUUAUAUUUAUUUAUUUUAUUAUCAUAAAAGCUUUUCAGUCCUUAAUUAUAUAUGCUUUUUUUUGUGUUGUAAUUAUUUAGGCUUUAUUGGUUGGAGUUAUGUCUUAUGUUCUUGUGAAUUAUAUAUUUCUAAAACAUAAGGGCCACAUACACACGGACAAGGAGUUCCAACUUCACCUGCUGUAAGCUAUGAUGUUUUCUGAGAUUAGUUCCUAAUUUAGGCAUAGUAAACAUAUCUUUGUUCUGUUAUAGAUAAUUUAUAUGCAAUCAUCUUGUUUCCUUUUUUCCUGAUCUGUUUUUCUGUUUCAGGCUCUAGAACCUGCUACUCUUAUUCCUCUUCAGCUUUUAAAGUCAACUGGAACCAAAUGCAUAAUGGUUGGCGACCCAAAGCAACUUCCCGCAACUGUCCUCUCAAAUGUUGCGAGUAAAUAUCUUUACGAGUGCAGCAUGUUUGAACGUUUACAAAGGGCAAGGCAUCCUGUUAUCAUGCUUACUGAGUAGUUGCAAAAGCUUUGAAGAAAGUAAAGGUUGUUUUUCUUUUGGUGAAUCUUGGAGUGUAUCUAUUCAAGCUGAAGGCUUGCCAUGGUGCAGAUUUCCUUUCCUGGUACCGAUGAGAGAUCUUGUAUGGUUUUCUCUUCAUGGGAAGCCCAAAUUUUCCAAUAUUCUUCAGUUAAUGAUAGGGUCUAUGUUCUCACUCUGGGCAUCUUUAUUGAGGAACAAAAAGGCAAAGUUUUUUUGUGAGAAAAACAGUGAUGAAGAAGAAGAAGCAGCAGCAGAAAGAGCAAGUGAAGUGAAUUUUGCAGAUGAGAUAAGUGGAAUUAACACAGGACCUCCUUCACCAACUUCAUCUAUUAAUUAUUAGAGCAGCAAAAAUUGUUCAAAUAAGUUAAGAAAUUGAAUAGGAGUUGCUUGCAAUAUAGGUAUUUUAAUUUACUAGUAUGAGAAAAAUCAAUUAGAGCCUUUGGAUACUCAUUAACAACUUUUAAUUUACUCAAUAGACUUUAUUAUGUUUGUUACUUAUUAUUAUAGUUGAUGUAUCAAUACACUUUGUUUAUAUUUUGAAUUAUAUUGACU